rnacentral:rRNA from 1 species
UACAGGGGGAGCAAGCGUUGUUCGGAUUUACUGGGCGUAAAGGGCGCGUAGGCGGCCACCGCAAGUCGACUGUGAAAUCUCCGGGCUUAACCCGGAAAGGUCAGCCGAUACUGCGGGGCUAGAGUGCAGAAGGGGCAACUGGAAUUCUCGGUGUAGCGGUGAAAUGCGUAGAUAUCGAGAGGAACACCUGCGGCGAAGGCGGGUUGCUGGGCUGACACUGACGCUGAGGCGCGAAAGCGUGGGGAGCAAACAGG